UAGGGGGGUAAGGGGGUCAGGAGAGGGGUGAUUUCAUUCAUGCAGAAUAUUUAUAUGAAAAUUUGUUUGUACAAAAGUUAGUUGGAGUCGAAGAGUUUCCAGAGUCAGUUCUCACUUUAAAAUUCAUUUCUUUCGAUGGUUGUUCGCGUUUUCCUUAAAUGACUACGCAUUUUGGAUUAUAAUUAUUUAGCAUUUUUUUCGUCUAUUUCAGGUUGCCAUUGAAAAAAUGGAAGUUCGAAAGGAAAGAAAGAAGGUUACCUGAUGAGGAGGUCUUUCUGUCCGGAGCCUGCAAUGCAUCUUCGGAUGAACUAGUGGGCACCUGAGGUGGUUGAGGUUCUAGGUCAGCAGCCACAAAUGAAUCUUUAGUGGUCGAAGACACCAUCGAAAAAUCCAUGUCCCUCAAUAAGAAAUCAUCGGAAUCGAUGAUAGUGGAUUCCAACAUGACGAUCUUUUGGAACGGCGGGAAUAAGUAUUCUUUGCUAACCAAAAUCGUUUGCGGAAAAGGAACUACUCUUUUCUAGCGUUAAAAAGGCCUCAACUCGUUAUCAGAGAUUUGCCAGGAGAGUCAAAC